rnacentral:rRNA from 1 species
GACGAACGCUGGCGGCGUGCUUAACACAUGCAAGUCGAACGGAAAGGCCCUGCUCUUGUGGGGUGCUCGAGAGGCGAACGGGGGAGUAACACGUGAGUAACCUGCCCUUGACUUUGUGAUAACUUCAGGAAACUGGGGCUAAUACCGGAUAGGAGCUCCUGCUGCAUGGGGGGGGUUGGAAAGUUUCGGCGGUUGGGGAUGGACUCGCGGCUUAUCAGCUUGUUGGGGGGGUAGUGGCUUACCAAGGCUUUGACGGGUAGCCGGCCUGAGAGGUUUACCGGCCACAUUGGGCCUGCGAUACGGCCCAGACUCCUACGGGCGGCAGAAGUGGGGAAUCUUGCACAAUGGGCGGAAGCCUGAUGUAGCAACGCCGCGUUCGGGAUGCCGGCCUUCGGGUUGUAAACCGCUUUCGCCUGUGACGAAGCGUGAGUGACGGUACCGGGUCAAGAAGCACCGGCUAACUACGUG